rnacentral:lncRNA from 1 species
CUUGGCUUAGUUCAUCCAAAAGACCAUUGGAAAUAAAGAAGAAAUGCAAAGAGAGGGACUGAAAGUCUGAAACGUUGUAAUAUAUGCUACUCCUUGCUGGUGAAAAAUGCUUUUAUCUCUUAUCUUCUGAGUUCUGACUUUAAACAGAAAAAAAAUUAAUUAGGAUAAAAAGGGAGGAACUAAAAGAAAAACAAAAGAGAAACAUAGAAAUUAAUUAUCUCUUCCUUACCUAAGUUAUUACAGAGGAGAUUUACAUGGACAAAAGCAAGGCCUUAGUAGUAUAAUGAUCCUGUAGAAAGUAAAAAACAUAGGUGGAAUUCAUCACAUUGGGAAAAGAGAUACAUAGCAACCCAAAAUGAAUAUCAUUACUCGAAUUAUUUUAAUUUAUGUAACAUUAUUUUUUUAUUAGUUUGUUCUAAUAAAAAAUAUUUUCUAUAUCUUGAGACAAAUUAAUUUUAAACUUAUUUUUACUUUUAAUGAGAAAUUUUGAUAAUCAAUACAAUUAUUAUAGUAUAUUUAAGAAUUACGACUAAAGGUAAAAAAAAAAAAUAUACACACAAAUAUUAUGACAUAUUUAAAAUCAUAAGUUUCAAAAGUUUUUCUUGAAACUUACCCUGCCACCAAUUUCCUCUUGAAGCAGAGUUUGAACCAUCACCUCCCCCAUCUUUCUUGACCUGAUCAAGUAAGCAGAAAAAAUACAAAAUUAAUAAACUGAAAAACAACUACAAGUAAUAUUAUUACUCCUAAAUUGUA